UACGGAGGGUGCGAGCGUUGUUCGGAAUUACUGGGCGUAAAGGGCUCGUAGGCGGCCAACUAAGUCCGACGUGAAAUCCCCAGGCUCAACCUGGGAACUGCGUCGGAUACUGGAUGGCUUGAAUCCGGGAGAGGGAUGCAGAAUUCCUGGUGUAGCGGUGGAAUGCGCAGAUAUCAGGAGGAACACCGAUGGCGAAGGCAGUUCUCUGGGCCGCAACUGACGCUAAGGCGCGAAAGCGUGGGGAGCGAACAGG
rnacentral:rRNA from 1 species